AACACUUUCUUUCUAGAUGGAAACUUGUGACGGAUGUCGAGUUAUUACUAAGAGCUUUUAGGACAAUGCAUUGCAAGAUGAGCACCAAACACCGAUAUGCCUGGAGAAAAUGCCAAUGGUAGUGAGAAAGAAGUGCAUUACUUGUGCAAUUAGUACAAGACUAGGAAUCUAAAUCAGAUUUUCUUUAACACACUUGGAUGUAGAAGCGCAAGGG
rnacentral:lncRNA from 1 species